AGAGUUUGAUCAUGGCUCAGAUUGAACGCUGGCGGCAGGCCUAACACAUGCAAGUCGAGCGGAAACGAGUUAUCUGAACCUUCGGGGAACGAUAACGGCGUCGAGCGGCGGACGGGUGAGUAAUGCCUAGGAAAUUGCCCUGAUGUGGGGGAUAACCAUUGGAAACGAUGGCUAAUACCGCAUGAUGCCUACGGGCCAAAGAGGGGGACCUUCGGGCCUCUCGCGUCAGGAUAUGCCUAGGUGGGAUUAGCUAGUUGGUGAGGUAAGGGCUCACCAAGGCGACGAUCCCUAGCUGGUCUGAGAGGAUGAUCAGCCACACUGGAACUGAGACACGGUCCAGACUCCUACGGGAGGCAGCAGUGGGGAAUAUUGCACAAUGGGCGCAAGCCUGAUGCAGCCAUGCCGCGUGUGUGAAGAAGGCCUUCGGGUUGUAAAGCACUUUCAGUCGUGAGGAAGGUAGUGUAGUUAAUAGCUGCAUUAUUUGACGUUAGCGACAGAAGAAGCACCGGCUAACUCCGUGCCAGCAGCCGCGGUAAUACGGAGGGUGCGAGCGUUAAUCGGAAUUACUGGGCGUAAAGCGCAUGCAGGUGGUUUGUUAAGUCAGAUGUGAAAGCCCGGGGCUCAACCUCGGAAUAGCAUUUGAAACUGGCAGACUAGAGUACUGUAGAGGGGGGUAGAAUUUCAGGUGUAGCGGUGAAAUGCGUAGAGAUCUGAAGGAAUACCGGUGGCGAAGGCGGCCCCCUGGACAGAUACUGACACUCAGAUGCGAAAGCGUGGGGAGCAAACAGGAUUAGAUACCCUGGUAGUCCACGCCGUAAACGAUGUCUACUUGGAGGUUGUGGCCUUGAGCCGUGGCUUUCGGAGCUAACGCGUUAAGUAGACCGCCUGGGGAGUACGGUCGCAAGAUUAAAACUCAAAUGAAUUGACGGGGGCCCGCACAAGCGGUGGAGCAUGUGGUUUAAUUCGAUGCAACGCGAAGAACCUUACCUACUCUUGACAUCCAGAGAACUUUCCAGAGAUGGAUUGGUGCCUUCGGGAGCUCUGAGACAGGUGCUGCAUGGCUGUCGUCAGCUCGUGUUGUGAAAUGUUGGGUUAAGUCCCGCAACGAGCGCAACCCUUAUCCUUGUUUGCCAGCACUUCGGGUGGGAACUCCAGGGAGACUGCCGGUGAUAAACCGGAGGAAGGUGGGGACGACGUCAAGUCAUCAUGGCCCUUACGAGUAGGGCUACACACGUGCUACAAUGGCGCAUACAGAGGGCGGCCAACUUGCGAAAGUGAGCGAAUCCCAAAAAGUGCGUCGUAGUCCGGAUUGGAGUCUGCAACUCGACUCCAUGAAGUCGGAAUCGCUAGUAAUCGUGGAUCAGAAUGCCACGGUGAAUACGUUCCCGGGCCUUGUACACACCGCCCGUCACACCAUGGGAGUGGGCUGCAAAAGAAGUAGGUAGUUUAACCUUCGGGGGGACGCUUACCACUUUGUGGUUCAUGACUGGGGUGAAGUCGUAACAAGGUAGCGCUAGGGGAACCUGGCGCUGGAUCACCU
rnacentral:rRNA from 1 species